AACGAACGCUGGCGGCGCGCCUAAUACAUGCAAGUCGAGCGAGAAGGUGUAGCAAUACACUUGUAAAGCGGCGAACGGGUGAGGAAUGCAUGGGUAACCUACCCUCGAGUGGGGAAUAACUAGCCGAAAGGUUAGCUAAUACCGCAUACGUUUCCGGAACUUCGGUUUCGGAAAGAAAGCAAUACCGUGGGUAUUGCGCUCCUGGAUGGGCUCAUGUCCUAUCAGCUUGUUGGUGAGGUAACGGCUCACCAAGGCUUCGACGGGUAGCUGGUCUGAGAGGACGAUCAGCCACACUGGCACUGCGACACGGGCCAGACUCCUACGGGAGCAGCAGUAAGGAAUAUUGCGCAAUGGACGAAAGUCUGACGCAGCGACACCGCGUGGGGGAUGAAGGU
rnacentral:rRNA from 1 species